GCCGUAAAAAAAGAACUACCAAGUAAAAGAUUGCAGCUCGUCGACAAAUACAGGUAAGGGAAUCCCCUCUUUUCUCUAGCUAACCGACAAUGCUUCCCAUCUCCUUGGGAUGUGUAUUUCCUUAUCUCUCCAGAACUCGUGUCGGCUUAUUCGAGGCCUGCCCUCGUCGGCAAGAUAGCAAAAAGGGGAGAAACAUCCGGGGAGAAGCGGCAACACGCCGAUUUCCCGAGGCCACCAUCAAAUUGCGCUGCUGUGCGACCUCGUGAGGGAGCUUGGCUGGAGCCUGGAGGCAGCUGCUCUAAUUGUGCGUUCGCAUCAUUCCUCCCAUCCAAAGCUUGGAAUGCUGCUGCACCAAUGGCAGCAUCGCAGGACUGCUCCGCAUCCGUCACGGUCACUCUUUUGCGUCGUCACUGCCAGGUCCGUCCACGGAGGCGCCUAGUUCGUCUGGGGACGGCGGUUCCGCCAGCCGUCCUCCUCCCUGUCACCCUGAUCCCUUCCCAAGCCUCCAAGAGGCUGCUUCUCUGCCCGCCCGCCACCUCCUCUGAGUCCGUCGGAUGAUCAAGGCUUUCUCUAUUCGUAUUAUGGUGAUUUUGCCAGUUACAGGCUACACACUUAGGUUACAGGGAUUUCAUAUGUUUCUCUUAAAGAAAGCGCUACACUUAAUGAAUACAGAGAAUAUUUGGCAGCAGCAGCAACACUACGGUCAGAGCAGCUAUGGACUGGGACAUCAUCUGAAUAUAAGAGUAUGUUUUUCUCUGAAACUUCCGCAAGAUGGAUAAAAGUAAU